CUGUUGGAUUUGCAGGUCCGGACUCGGGAUUUGGGCGGUUACUCCACCACUUCCGACUUCGUCAAGUGCGCACGGCGGACAUGGGGGGCUACUCCACCUCCCUGGAUUUCACCCAGGCCGUGAUAGAUGCCCUGGAGGUUUAGUGGCCCCAGCCCCGCUGACUCCAAUAAAGUGGCCUCAGGCGUGUGA